UCAAGAAGUCUUAGACGUUGCUGAUCGUCAAGACAGCGAUAAACGCCGUACACCUAACGGCAGGCCUCAAGAGACGAUUAACGUUAACCUGCGUGCGUAAACUUUGCGGCAAACAGAAGUAUUAAAAGUGUUUUACGGAGCAUGUGAGCAAUGAAAUUACCCAUUUAUUUGGACUAUUC
rnacentral:sRNA from 19 species